AAAAAAAUAGAAAAUCUUAAAAAGUAAACAAAUUUACAUAUACUAAUUUAUAUGUCUAUAUAUUUAUAAACAAUUAACAUUUAUUCAACAAAAGCAAAAUUAACAAAUUUGUCUUUAACUCAUGUAAUCAUAAGUGAAAAUAGAACACUUUGAGAAAAAUAGCUUAGCUUAUAGGAUUUAACUUUUCAAUUAUUUUCAUUUAUUAAUUUUAACUCAUUUAAUAUUAAUUUGCAUGAUGUAAAAUUAACUUACGAGAUUACGUGGGUGAUUGGUUUGUCUGUAACUGUAGAUUUACUGCUGUAGAAUUUUUGUUGUAGGUGUGAUGACUGUAGCUGUAAGUUUUAUUGCUGUAGAAAUUAGACUGUAGGUUUUAUUAAUAUAAUUAUUACUUAAAGAAAUUGGGUAGAAAUAAGAUUUUGGUUGUAUGUAUUUUUAAACAAAAAAAUAUUAUCGGGUCGGGUUCGGUUUGGGUUCGGGUUCGGGUUCGAGUUAUUUAUAUAUUGAAAUAUCAAAUUUUGUGUGCAAAUCUAUUAAAUUACUUGAAAUUUUCAAAAAUUCCCAAAACAACAUGAGUAGUUUUGCUUGAAUAUAUCUAAAAAUACACAAAAAUAACUAAAAUAUCCAAAAAAAUUCUAAUAUUUUCUAUAUAUAAGUAUAAAUAUAACUAAUAUAUACUUAUAUUUGAGAUAUGUUUGCAUACCUAUUCGGGUUUGGGUUUGAGUUUUUCGGGUUUUAAAGUUUAUAUCCGUUCGAGUAUUUGAAAAUUUCGGGUACACCCGCCUAAAUAGGCGGACCUUAUCUAGUAUAUAUAUACAUUUGAACUAUAUUGUUUACUUUUUAGUUGAUUUAGGCUAUGUAUGACAUUGACAUAAAUCUACCUGUUAUUUAUCACGUGUAAUUC
rnacentral:sRNA from 1 species